CCUACGGGUGGCAGCAGUGAGGAAUAUUGGUCAAUGGGCGCGAGCCUGAACCAGCCAAGUCGCGUGAGGGAGGACGGCCCUACGGGUUGUAAACCUCUUUUGCCGGGGAGCAACGGGCGCCACGUGUGGCGUCACUGAUAGUCCCCGGAGACAAAGCAUGGGCUAACUCCCUGCCAGCAGCCGCGGUAAUACGUAGGAGGCGAGCGUUAUUCGGAUUUAUUGGGUUAAGAGGGUGCGUAGGCGGAUCGUUAAGUCAGUGGUCAAAUUGAGGGGCUCAACCCCUUCCCGCCAUUGAUACUGGCGUGCUUGAGUGGAAGAGAAGUAUGCGGAAUGCGUGGUGUAGCGGUGAAAUGCGUAGAUAUCACGCAGAACCCCGGUGGCGAAGGCAGCAUGCCGGCUUCCGACUGACGCUGAAGCACGAAAGCGUGGGGAUCGAACAGGAUUAGAUACCCCAGUAGUC
rnacentral:rRNA from 1 species